CUGCUACCAUGCAGUCGUACGGCAGCACCCAGUGCUUGCACCUGGUGGCGAGUGGCGAACGGGUGAGUAAUACAUCGGAACAUGUCCUGUAGUGGGGGAUAGCCCGGCGAAAGCCGGAUUAAUACCGCAUACGAUCUACGGAUGAAAGCGGGGGACCUUCGGGCCUCGCGCUAUAGGGUUGGCCGAUGGCUGAUUAGCUAGUUGGUGGGGUAAAGGCCUACCAAGGCGACGAUCAGUAGCUGGUCUGAGAGGACGACCAGCCACACUGGGACUGAGACACGGCCCAAACUCCUACGGGAGGCAGCAGUGGGGAAUUUUGGACAAUGGGCGAAAGCCUGAUCCAGCAAUGCCGCGUGUGUGAAGAAGGCCUUCGGGUUGUAAAGCACUUUUGUCCGGAAAGAAAUCCUUGGCCCUAAUACGGUCGGGGGAUGACGGUACCGGAAGAAUAAGCACCGGCUAACUACGUGCCAGCAGCCGCGGUAAUACGUAGGGUGCGAGCGUUAAUCGGAAUUACUGGGCGUAAAGCGUGCGCAGGCGGUUUGCUAAGACCGAUGUGAAAUCCCCGGGCUCAACCUGGGAACUGCAUUGGUGACUGGCAGGCUAGAGUAUGGCAGAGGGGGGUAGAAUUCCACGUGUAGCAGUGAAAUGCGUAGAGAUGUGGAGGAAUACCGAUGGCGAAGGCAGCCCCCUGGGCCAAUACUGACGCUCAUGCACGAAAGCGUGNGGAGCAAACAGGAUUAGAUACCCUGGUAGUCCACGCCCUAAACGAUGUCAACUAGUUGUUGGGGAUUCAUUUCCUUAGUAACGUAGCUAACGCGUGAAGUUGACCGCCUGGGGAGUACGGUCGCAAGAUUAAAACUCAAGGAAUUGACGGGGACCCGCACAGCGGUGGAUGAUGUGGAUUAAUUCGAUGCAACGCGAAAACCUUACCUACCCUUGACA
rnacentral:rRNA from 1 species